UACGUAGGGGGCAAGCGUUGUCCGGAUUUAUUGGGCGUAAAGAGCGUGUAGGCGGCCAGGUAGGUCAGCUGUGAAAACUCGAGGCUCAACCUCGAGACGUCGGUUGAAACCACCUGGCUAGAGUCCGGAAGAGGAGAGUGGAAUUCCUGGUGUAGCGGUGAAAUGCGCAGAUAUCAGGAAGAACACCCGUGGCGAAGGCGGCUCUCUGGGCCUUACCUGACGCUCAGGCACGAAAGCUAGGGGAGCGAACAGG
rnacentral:rRNA from 1 species